UCCCUGCUUUGACUCUGCAUCGGGUUUCAGCCUUUUUGCGUCAGCAACACCGCCGCUUUGUGACACUUGAAAGUGACACCCAUCCAGAACUGGACUCGAGGUUUCUGCAUCAUCCUGCUUUGUGUUCUGCUACAUCUGCACAGCUUUUGAAAGAUUUCAGCUCUUCUCCAGAAGCGACAUCUGAUCGUGUGUGAGGACAUGGACAAAGGGCUGAAGUGUGAGGACAAGGAGUUUGAGUAUGAGGUCGUAGAGCAGGAGGACGUUGAGCCACGUUCCUCGGAGGAAGAAAAGUCAGAGGGGAAUGGGUGCAUUAAGCAUUGUGUGGCAACCCAUUGUGAAGAAAAGGAGCUGUGGUCCUGGUUUGAACAACAGCUGAGGAUUAUAAAUGCAUUGAACUUGGUGUGAGCGCCUGCAGUGGACCAAAGCCCAAAAGAUUGCAGACUGGAUCAGGACAACUGCCACACCAUCGAGGACAAACAGAAUUCAUACUGUUUUUGAUAAAGAAAACAAUGUGUUUGUUGAUAGUACUGUUUUCAAUGUUCAAAUAAAAUGGAGACAUUUCAAAGAUGAUGACUUGUGUAACAGCCAGAAAGAUUAGAGAAGACUGAGUCACAAAAGAGGACCGGGAUAUGCAACUGCCACACCCUUGAGGACAAACAGAAUUCAGACUGUUUUUGAUAAAGAAAACAUUGUGUUUGUUUACAGUUCGGGCGGCAUGGUGGUGCAGUGGUUAGCACUGUCGCCUCA